GCGCGAUUAGCUCAGUUGGAUAGAGCGUUGGCCUCCGGAGCCAAAGGUCAGUGGUUCGAGUCCACUAUCGCGCA
rnacentral:tRNA from 1 species